CAAUGACUUUAAAUGUGUAGUCUUGGAAGUGGUGAAACCCAAACCUUAUACACACAGUGACAUGCAGAGAAUAUUACUGCAAAGAGAGGCUUUCUGGACUUUUGUAUUAAAAACAGAAUAUCCCACUGGUCUCAAUGCUGCCCUUGAUUUAUCAUGUUUUUUAGGAGAAUGAAUCUACACCCUCCUAUAUCCCUGCCUGUUAUUAUGUUCCUUAAACCCUUCAUGAGAUUCUCUAUUCUUAAUAUACUUUGUUCUAUACUCUUCCACAUAUUUACCCUCUUUGUAAAUAGCUGGUUGCCAACUUAUGAUAUACUUACCUUUUCUUCUGGUCAGUUGGCUGCCCAAACCGGAUAUGCACUUUGUAUUUAAAGAGGAAGCUUCCAAUUAACUAGCAAGACUGACUUGUCCAUGUAAAAGAAUCAGUGUGUAGGAGCCAACUUAUGACAUACUUACCUUCUCUUCUGGUCAGUUGGCUGCCCAAACCGGAUAUGCACUUUGUAUUUAUAGAGGAAGCUUCCAAUUAACUAGUAAGACUGACUUGUCCAUGUAAAAGAAUCAGUGUGUAGGAGCUGUGUGAGCCAUUUUGAAUGUUUUGGAUACCCUUGUGGUGCAUUGAAUUGCAGAAGUUCAUUGAAUAUUGAAGACUGAGAUUGAGAAAGAUCACUCGAAACGAACGCAG